UACGUAGGUGGCAAGCGUUAUCCGGAAUUACUGGGCGUAAAGCGCCUGCAGGCGGUGGGUUAAGUUUGACGUGAAAGCUCUUGGCUUAACUGAGAGAGGUCGUUGAAAACUGGCCGACUGGAGGCGAGGAGAGGGGUGUAGAAUUCCCGGUGUAGUGGUGGAAUGCGUAGAGAUCGGGAGGAAUACCAGAGGCGCAAGCGACACCCUGGCCUUGGCCUGACGCUGAGGGGCGAAAGCGUGGGGAGCGAACGGG
rnacentral:rRNA from 1 species